UGUCAGGAUAGGAUCAAACAUCGUUAGUGAUGAAUGGCGUGCUUAUCGUUCCCUGCAUGCACUUGGCUACAAUCAUAUGACUGAAUCAUGCAAGGUGGCAUGUAGAUGCCCAAACAGGUGCUGAAUCAACUGAAUCAUUCUGCCCUUUUCGAUGCUCCUUUUCUCUUCUCAUUUAAGUACCAGGAGGAGCUCUUCUUUCUGAGGGUGAACAAGAUCCUCUGAUUCCUCCACCUCGCGGUGCCUUUUGGAGAGUGACUUCUUUGUUGCUGCUGGCUGAAUGAUUGCUCAUUCGUUCCUCCAUGAUGGGCCGGGCCUUGGAGGACUCAGCCCAGCUGUUCUGCAUGUGCUCUUUGGUGGAAGCCCAGAAGAAGUCAUGAUGAAAAUAUCAAGGACUGUGCUGACCUCGAUAUCCGCAAGACAGUCAAAGUGCUGGAGGGUACAGAAGAAUUGUCAUCUGAAGGAAAGAACAAUACUAAUGAGUUGUCACUGUCUUGGGAUUUGCCUCAAGUCACAUGUGAGAACAGAAGAUGCUGCUGGACAAGCUGAUGCUCCACGCAGUGAGUAUUCUCAUCUGUACUUUAACAGAUCAUUUCAACCAGACAGACAAAUGAGCGUUGAAGUUCACACUCACAAUGUUCACAUUGUGUCUUUUUUGUGCUUCACACAGAUGUUGGUGAGUUGAUUGUUUCGCGCUAGUUAAGUAGUUAAAGAUUAGUAAGGCGGCUUUCCUUUUCGUAAUGCAAAUGAUUUGCAGGAACUUGGAAGAAGCUCAAGACGGGUUAAACAGUUACGAAGGGGCUUAAAAGAGACGCUGAUCUGGCCUUUGCUACCUGAGAGGAAAGACACAAUUCCCCUCCUCUUUCCAAGAGCAUGUGAUGUACAGCGCACACCACAGCAGGUUGGUGUGAAGGUGUGAAGGUGUGGACUCUGCUAUG